AAAAGGAAUCCCAUGGAGGGACUGAUUGUGUCUAAGUGGUCCAAACUUAUCCAAAUUAGGGCUUCCCGUUCCCUUUUUGUUGAUCGGGCAAAAGAAAUGGAAUGCUACAACUGAAAGCAAUCGACGCGAAGAACACAGAUGAAUGGCAAACGCAAACAAACAAUCGAUGGGUCGAAAGAGAGCACGGAGGUUCGUCGCUCGACUCGCAAUCGGUGGUGGCCUCCGGCGUUCGACUAGACUAAAGAAGGAGAAGGAUCGCAGCAGCGAGGUGGCUGUGACCUCGGACGAGAAGGAAGAGACGAAGCAGCGGGGCUGCUCGUCUAGUUGCGAAGGGGAAAGAGGUCCGAAGGGGGUCUGGGAGGCGUCGCGAGCAGCAGCAGCGACGAUGACGGGGUGUUUGGUGGGUUUGCUCGACGGGAGGGGAAGAGGAGGGUGCGAGGGUUCGGUUGUCGGUCUCGGUGGUUCUGCGAUGAGGCUAGUUGAGACCGGUGGUUUUGAGUUUUCAGUCGUAUGGGUAGUGGAGGGGAGUUCGAUCGUGGCUGAUUAUUGAUUCGGGAAAGGCAGCAGCUAUCAACACAGGAAAUCGGUAGGCUCAAGUGGGUGUUUGGCUUUGGUUCUUGACAAGAAAGAAGGAUGGACGAGGGAUGCUGCUACUCCAUGGCAUAACUCUAAGGUAAAAUUCCUUUUUUUUUUUUUUUUUUUUUUUUUCCUGUGAUUUCUAUGUUCAACAGAGAUUGAAUGGAAGUUUUUAUGAGUAUAAAACCAUACUUGUAAAAACAUUCGUAUAGGUAGGUUUUUAUUGACAGGAAUUGAAGAAUGAGAAAGGAUGCGAGGGGGUCCUUACAGCUUCAGCUAAACCAAGGAACACGUUAUGUGCGUAGUUAUCCUUGUGUAUGUAUGUGUAUAAAAACAUGUUUAUUUUUGUACGUAAAAUUGUAUAAGCCUUUGUGUGUUGUUUUAGAUGUGCAAGAUUUGGCGGUUGUCUUUUA